rnacentral:rRNA from 1 species
GAUGAACGCUAGCGGCGGGCUUAAUACAUGCAAGUCGAGGGGUGGUAGCAAUACUACACCGGCGCACGGGUGCGUAACGCGUAUGCAAUCUACCUUUAUCUGGGGGAUAGCCCGGGGAAACCCGGAUUAAUACCGCAUAACAAAUUUCUUGGCAUCAAGAGAUUUUAAAAGAUUUAUCGGAUAGAGAUGAGCAUGCGUAAGAUUAGAUAGUUGGCGAGGUAACGGCUCACCAAGUCUACGAUCUUUAGGGGCUCUGAGAGGAGAAUCCCCCACACUGGCACUGAGAUACGGGCCAGACUCCUACGGGAGGCAGCAGUAGGGAAUAUUGGGCAAUGGGCGCAAGCCUGACCCAGCCACGCCGCGUGCAGGAAGAAGGCCCUCUGGGUUGUAAACUGCUUUUGACUGGGAAGAAAAGACUCCUUGCGAGAAGAGUUGACGGUACCAGCAGAAUAAGCCACGGCUAACUACGUGCCAGCCGCCGCAGUAACAC